GUUUGGGUUCUGGCUUUGUUUUUUUUUUUUUCAUAUACGCAGGAUCAGUCCAGAUUCUUUGAUGUAUCUUACCAAGGCAUUGCUAAUUUCGUGUUGGGUGUUUGUUGCUCUACUCUCUCCAGCUCAGUGGCUGGACAGUGAAGUAUGGCAUGGGCUGUGGUUUCAUUUUCCCCGCAGUAGGGACAGGCUUGAUCUACUUCACUUUGGAAUCGAGCCAAGUUUGCUGCCAGUCUAUUGUGUCCUGAUCGCAACCUGAACAGGGUUCUCGUUACCUGCCUGGAUUUGUGUAUGUGCCAUUUGAGCAUGCCAGUUCUGGAUCUCAGGUGUUCCCGUAGGAUUGCUUCUUGCUCCCCUGUUGAAAGCAGGUUGCAAAUUUCCUUGGUGGCGACGAGAUUUAAGGAUUCCUUCACGGCAAGCUGGUCGGCCCUUUCGUU